GCUGCAUUCUCUCCACAUUGAAACAUUUGCUCCAGGAAGGAAGAGGUGGCCUCAGGAGGUAAACAGAAGAUCAUAUGUAGGGGAGAAAGGGAAGUGGGAAAGAUCUUGAGGGCUCCUCCGCAGCAGUAAAAAACGAAAGUAAAGGAGGUGCAGAGAGAGACGUCUGAACUCCGGGUGAUCUGACUUCAGACUGCCGUCAGGGCUCUAGGGACACGGUUUUCCGGGAUUGUCACCCAUGUGGUGAGCUCUCUGGCCAUGCAGCUGCGUCGGGUCAUCCUUGCUCCUUCCAAAUACUUCAGGCAGCCAGCUUCGGAAGCCAGCCGGUGUUUCCUGUCCACUCCCAGCAGCCGCCUGUGUGUCAGCUGGUGACUAGUCAUAGCCUCGUGCCACCUAGACCUGCUCAUCGGCACCCGAGUGCAUCUCCAGGCACCCCUGGAGCAAAUGGAUGGGUGUUCCUGCCGGCUCCCUUGGGCUAUCGGGAGCUGGGAAGCUUGAUUCUUAGUGUCUUCCUACACAAGGGCCCGCAGUGCCCCACUCCCAAGCCCCUUGGCAUCCACUUCAGCAUGCAGCGGAUCUCGAAAUCCCGCUGGUAUGUGGUCAUCUUUGGAAUACUCUGUGCCUGUGUAGGGAGAAGUCAGAAGCACUCGGAAGGUAAUUCCCAUAAAAGCAUCUUGAGCCUUUGCUGGAUGGAGGACUGGCCAAUGAAUACUCACCUGUCUGAGUCCCUGGUCCUUCGCUCUGCUAAUUUUCAGACAUGGUUCUCAGAAUUCUCUUAGUGGGAUUGAACUGAUUUAUUUCUUUAUUGAUUUAUUGAUUAUUUUGCUUUGAGUCAGGGUCUCAUGUAUCCCAGGCUAGCCUCAGACUCAUCUGUAUCUCUGAACGAUUGUGAACUGCUGGAGGUUUUCCUGCCUCCACCUCCUGAGCCCUGGGAUUACACACAACCACCCUCCGUUUAUGAAGGGCUGGCGAUGGACCCAGGGCCUCAAGCAUGCCAGGCAGGCCCUCACUGAACUCCAUCCCAGCCCCUCCCUGUCCGCUCGAGUGCCCUGCUUGUGGGCCUUCGCUGCAUCUUUCUCUUCACACUCCUGUUCACUGGAAGGCUUCCUCCGACUCUCUCAAAUACACGCUUGCACUUUGACUUUAUCUCAGCCUUCCGUUUCUGGGAGACUCGACGUCUAGCACGCAGCAGCCAUAGCAGGCACUCAGCUAGUCCUCCGCAGAUCCUCUUACUGUUGUGGGAUUUCUGCCUCACAGGGAGAUGACUCUUUGACUGUGAAGGCUUCUGUUAGGAGCUGUUAUCUUCCCACAGAGGAUGAUGAAGGGCCUUCCAGCUAGAAGUCCUGAGAAAGGAUCUACGAGAUGAAAAUGUGAAGGGGGGGGGGAUUCUCCCUCCUGUGCCAAUGUGUUUUCAGAAGUGGAGGGGACUCAGGUUGGUUAUGAAAUCAUUCACUCUGGUGAGCCAGCAUGUUUCCUUUUAUGGAUGCUACAGCCCAGACUGCUGUGCCGGGAGUGAUUUUCCAUCAUGUUCUCUAUAGAGUUCACAGCAAAGCCAAAAAUAAUAUAAGAUAUUCAAACCAACCCUAGACUGGAGUGUCGUUUUAUAAACACUUGUGAUCAAAACCAUCCAUGAAAUAAAACUGUAAUCGCCCCAUGACCAGCAUUGUCACCCCCCCUUUUAUACGGGUUGGCACCAGGCUAGUGUCUUUGUGUCACACAUGAGGAAAUGAGUCACAUAAAGGACGUGCUGAAGACUCUGAGGCUGCUGUCGGAGGAGAGCUGGAAGACAGUGUUCACCACCCUCCACGUGGGCUGAGCCCGACACAGGAUUCCUAACACAGCUUCAGACUCUCGGGUCUUUCUGAUAAACUUUUAUAAGAGAGUAAAACUGUGGUUAAUGAAAAGGGUCAUUGGUGCUGGGGAAUUUGAUGAAGUUUUAUGUGGUUCAAAUGAAACUGUGAAAAUCAGAUUUUUUAAAAAUAGUUACUGGGCAUUUAAUAGGGAUGAUCAGAACCAGGUUAACUUUUUGCAUAAUUUUUGCAUAGCUAUGAAUAUAGUUCAAUAAGAGGUGUUGGCCUCCUGGACCUGUCCCCUGGGAGGUCUCCGGACUACAGCACGAAACAGCCUGCUGGGCUACACAGCCUGCUGGGGCGGAGGGGAAUGUUUGGAGAGGAUCAAGGUUCAGGCAGCCUGGUGAGAGGUGAUUGCAGACUGAGACGUGGCAGCAGGAAGUAGGGGAUAGUGGUGACCCAAGCAGAUAGGCAAUAAUGACUGGCACCCUAGGACCAGUUAAAGGGACAGUCAACUGUUGGACUAUAGACGUGAGUUCAGAAGUCCAGAAACGCUUGCUCAACACGAAGUGCUAGAACCAAGUUUAAAGAA